GAGUUUGAUCAUGGCUCAGAUUGAACGCUGGCGGCAAGCCUAACACAUGCAAGUCGAACGGUAACAGGAAGCAGCUUGCUGCUUCGCUGACGAGUGGCGGACGGGUGAGUAAUGUCUGGGAAGCUGCCUGAUGGAGGGGGAUAACUACUGGAAACGGUAGCUAAUACCGCAUAAUGUCGCAAGACCAAAGAGGGGGACCUUCGGGCCUCUUGCCAUCGGAUGUGCCCAGAUGGGAUUAGCUUGUUGGUGGGGUAACGGCUCACCAAGGCGACGAUCCCUAGCUGGUCUGAGAGGAUGACCAGCCACACUGGAACUGAGACACGGUCCAGACUCCUACGGGAGGCAGCAGUGGGGAAUAUUGCACAAUGGGCGCAAGCCUGAUGCAGCCAUGCCGCGUGUAUGAAGAAGGCCUUCGGGUUGUAAAGUACUUUCAGCGGGGAGGAAGGGAGUAAAGUUAAUACCUUUGCUCAUUGACGUUACCCGCAGAAGAAGCACCGGCUAACUCCGUGCCAGCAGCCGCGGUAAUACGGAGGGUGCAAGCGUUAAUCGGAAUUACUGGGCGUAAAGCGCACGCAGGCGGUUUGUUAAGUCAGAUGUGAAAUCCCCGGGCUCAACCUGGGAACUGCAUCUGAUACUGGCAAGCUUGAGUCUCGUAGAGGGGGGUAGAAUUCCAGGUGUAGCGGUGAAAUGCGUAGAGAUCUGGAGGAAUACCGGUGGCGAAGGCGGCCCCCUGGACGAAGACUGACGCUCAGGUGCGAAAGCGUGGGGAGCAAACAGGAUUAGAUACCCUGGUAGUCCACGCCGUAAACGAUGUCGACUUGGAGGUUGUGCCCUUGAGGCGUGGCUUCCGGAGCUAACGCGUUAAGUCGACCGCCUGGGGAGUACGGCCGCAAGGUUAAAACUCAAAUGAAUUGACGGGGGCCCGCACAAGCGGUGGAGCAUGUGGUUUAAUUCGAUGCAACGCGAAGAACCUUACCUGGUCUUGACAUCCACGGAAGUUUUCAGAGAUGAGAAUGUGCCUUCGGGAACCGUGAGACAGGUGCUGCAUGGCUGUCGUCAGCUCGUGUUGUGAAAUGUUGGGUUAAGUCCCGCAACGAGCGCAACCCUUAUCCUUUGUUGCCAGCGGUCCGGCCGGGAACUCAAAGGAGACUGCCAGUGAUAAAUUGGAGGAAGGUGGGGAUGACGUCAAGUCAUCAUGGCCCUUACGACCAGGGCUACACACGUGCUACAAUGGUGCAUACAAAGAGAAGCGACCUCGCGAGAGCAAGCGGACCUCAUAAAGUGCGUCGUAGUCCGGAUUGGAGUCUGCAACUCGACUCCAUGAAGUCGGAAUCGCUAGUAAUCGUGGAUCAGAAUGCCACGGUGAAUACGUUCCCGGGCCUUGUACACACCGCCCGUCACACCAUGGGAGUGGGUUGCAAAAGAAGUAGGUAGCUUAACCUUCGGGAGGGCGCUUACCACUUUGUGAUUCAUGACUGGGGUGAAGUCGAAACAAGGUA
rnacentral:rRNA from 1 species